rnacentral:tRNA from 1 species
AGUUCAGUUGGUAGAGCACCAGGUUGUGAUCCUGGCUGUCGCGGGUUCGAGUCCCGUC